rnacentral:lncRNA from 1 species
UUCCUCUUCGUCCUCCUCCUCCCGCUCGCUCCCAUAAGCAUUGCCCUCCUCGUCCGUGCGACUACGGGGAGCCCACGUCAUCUUGUUCUCCUUCUUGAGGCGCCGGCGCGCGUUGGCGAACCAGAAGGGAAAGAAAAACAAAACGCAACACCACACAACAACACCACACAAGAGCCUCUGAGAUGCUCCUUCCUUCCUUACUGCAUUAACCAGCUAUCGACCUGGUUGUGUCCGAUUGCGAUGAUGGGCUGAGAGAAAGAACACCGGAAGAGCCAGGCUGUUCUCAGGAAGGACUCACGCCGGCCACGGGGCCGCCCCUGGCCCAGAGGGUGAACCUCUAGACCCAGGCACAGUGCACAAAGCGCUCGCCGCGGACGCUCUGUGGUCUGGGAUCAGGGCGCCAGGAGCAUACAGAAAAGGUGUACGCCGAGGACACGUGGCGCACGAAGCUGUGCGCGCUGGAGGACAACUACAAGGGGUGCCCUAUGUGUAGCCAGAGGCCCACCAGCUUCGGGGUCGGACACUCCGAACCAAGCCCCCAUCUCUUCCCUCCCCUGGUCCAGCUCCCCGAUGUGCCCGUGCCCCCCGUCGUUGGGAGCUUCUGCAGCUGUGUCUCCCAGCUCGGACAGAGUUCACUCCUUUCCUCCCAAGGCUCAGAGUCCCCCAGAGGCGGUGCGGGCUGGCUAUCCUUCAGCUUCUUGCAGAGGCUGCUGCGUACGCUCCCCCCCCCCCCAGCUGGGGUUACAGCAGCCACACGGACUUGCAGAUGCAUGGCCUGGCGUAGCACCGGGAGGAAUUCACAUUUGACUGUGAAUCCGGCCUCGGAGCAUCCCAGGAGGCGCGGGCCGGGCGCCGGCACGUCUGCCGUGCAACGCUGGCUGAGCCCUGUAAGCCGUCAGGGCCCGGGAGGCUGUCCCUGGUCCAGAGGCGCUACGGGAAACUUUGAGGCAAACUUUGCAAACUUCUUUCUCGGAGUUAAGAGAGGCCGCCGGUCAGAAAGGCUGCGGCGGCAGCAGCGUGGGCCCCAGGCCGGAUUUGUACACCGCCGAACUGGCCCUGCGGCCCCAGAAGGAGCGCGAGGCUCUCCAGCGUGCCCAUCUCUGCCUGCACCUCCCGGACCAGGGCCCCUGCCACUGGCCUUCGAGUGGCCAGCUCUACGCAGCUCCCGGAAUCUCAGCAUGGAAGGAAAACCGUGGCCCUGUGCACCAGUGGUUUUGUUUCUCUUUCUCUCUGCAAAAACAUCCACUUUCCACCUGCGCUGAGCUUUUUCGCUGAUCUUUUUUUUUUUCUUUCUUUUCCGUCCUGUCUAUUUCUCACACUUUCUGUAUGUUUGAUUUCCGGGGAUGUAUUUUUCUCUUUCUUUGAGUCCAAGUGUGUUGUUCGAUCCUUUUAUUUUUAUUUUCCUGGACCGUUUUCUUAAAGCUCAUUCUUUUUUGCCUCUCCCUUCCGUGUCUCUGCCCCCCCCCUCCUCAGUUUCAUCUUCUUCCUUUUCUCCCUCCCUCUCUUACCCCAUCUGCCCUAUUUCAAUCUUGAUCUACCCCAGGCUCUCCUUUGCUGGUUUCUUCUCUUUUCCUUUCCUCUACAGUCUGUCCCCUCCCCCGCCCGUGGAUCUGCUUCUCGGGCAUCCCCUCCCUCCUCAUCCAUCUUGGGAGAUGAAUAUGUCGCCUUAUUGGAUGCGGAGGCCAAAGCAGGGCAAUGGGGCUCGGCCAACGCCGCACAUUUUCUUCAUGCAUAUUGAGAAUAUGGUAAUGAGCGCGUUUGCAUUGUUGCAUGGAAAUGAUGCGACUCCCUCUGCGGUGCGGAGUGGGCAAGGUUGGUGUGGACCCAAGAGAGCUCGGUAGUGGGGACUGGGCCUGGUGGCCAUAGUGACCCACGGGGGGACAAGGACGUGACCUCUAGGAGCGCCCUGCUCUCCCUCCGCCUGCUCUGGCUUCCAGAAAGGCGUCACUACCCGGGUUAAACCUUGGAGAAGGGAAGCCAGCCUCGCUUGCCCGCCCGGUUGUAGCGUCCCUGGUCCCGGCCUGAAAACCCUUCCCCGCUAUUUUAGAGUUCUGGGAAGGAGAGUCUGUUCUCUAAUGGCUACACAUUGUUUGCAACUUGAGUGAUCCUUUAGGAUGAAACACGGCCCUACGCCAUCCGGCGGGCGGGUGGACAUCGUUUGCCCCGCCAGGUUGAACUCUGGCCAGUUGGCCCUCAGCGGGGAUAAGGUUGAACACCCCUCCCCCCAGUUAUCCAACAGAGGCAGCUCUUCCCCGAGGCCAGCCAAGUUCAGGUGAAGGGACCCAGGGCCUGCAGAAGGGUGAAAUUCUGUUGAAGCAGGCCAGGCUCUGCCUGGGACUGGGAAGGAAGCCAUGUUACACUUGCUGGGAGCUCAGAGCCCCGGAACCCCUAUUUAGCAGUCAAACCUCACCACAGCUCACCUCAGGACAUUUUCCUGCCUCCUUCUCCCCCAUUUCCUAUUCGGGAAGUCCCUAGCAGGGGCUCCAGGGCCGAAAUGCAUUGUGGAAAGGCAGCUCUGAAUAGGGUCAGGUUUCCCAACCUUCUAGCAUUCUGCCCGUGGCUAAGGACUGAAGAGUUUCGCUUCAACCGAGUGCUUUUCAAAACUCAAGUGUCUCUUUCUGGGAAAGCGUUUGAUCCGUCCCCUACUUCGGCAAACUGGAAAGUAGCGGUUAGCAGAAAGGAAACCUAGCUAGGAGCAAACCAUGCUCCUAAGCCUUGCACCUUCCCACUUGGGGUUCAAGUGCUUCCUGUGUUAUUAACAAGGCAGCUUUGGGUGUGUGAGUAGUGACUCUUGGAAGACAAGAGCAUAAAAACGAAUGUUUCUUCCUUGGUCCUCUUAUGUCUUAAAAUGAUGUCAGGGGUCUCAAGGGCUGUCCUGGUUUGUGGCUUGGUGGUGGUGUUUUCUGCUAAAACCAGUGUGAAAAUGUGAAGGCAAAACCAACGUGCUGAAUUAUUACUGCAAAUAAGCUCAUUUAAACGUUUUUCAGG